AAAUUGGAAGUCUACUUUAGGGGGUUGUAUAAAAGUGGAACGCUUAGGUAUCGUUUGGUUUGGGGAUAAGCAAAAAGUGAUUAUUCCAUGAAUAGGUAUAAAUUGAGAUAUAAGCGGAGAUUAGAUCAAUUUUGCAUUUGGAUGAAAAUUGGAGUAUUCCUGGGUAUAAAAAAAAUAGCGUUUCAUUAGGUAAGAUAGAAUAAGAAUUAAAGUGGGUAGUUAUAAAUAAAAAAAUAAUAAUAUUAUUCCUUCUUUAUAUUAGAAUUUGAAUUAUUAUUUUUUAUAUUUUAUAUUUAUAUUUUAGAAUUUAAAAUAUAAACUUUUAAAUUUUAAAAAAUCUCAAAUUUUAAUUUUAAAUUUCAAACUUUAAAUUUAAGAUCAAAUUUAAAUUUGAAAAUAUAAAAAUAUCAAAUUUUUAAAUUUCAAAAUUUAAAAUAUUAAAAUUUAAAUUUAAAAUUUAAAAUUUGGAAUUUAAAAUUAUAAACUUUAAUUUGAGAUUAUAAAUUUUAAAUUUUUAAAUUUUUAAAAUAAGAAUAAGGGUGGGAACAAUUAAUAAAAAUAAUUUAUUAUAAUAAAUUUAUAAAUUUGAUAAAAAUAAAAUUUUUAUUAAAUUUAUAAUUUUUUUAAAAAUUCUAUUUAAACUUAAAUUUAAUAAAAUAAUUUAUUAUAAUAUUUAAAUAUAAAUAAUAUGUAUUAAUAUAUUAUAAUUAAUAAUUUUAUAAUAAAAAUAAUGUAUCAUGAUAUAUAACAUAUUAUAUUUAUAUAAUUUAUUUUUAAUUCAAUUUAUAAUUUUAAUUAAGUUUGAAAUUAAGCAUUGGAAUAGCACUAUUCCACCAAAAUGGUGGAAUAGUAAAUCUCAAGAUAUUCCGAAAUAACCGGGAAUAGCAAGGUUUGACCGGAAUAAAAUAUCCCGGCAAAAAAUCACCCCGUUUGGCGGAAUAGCGGGGAUAACUUUCGUUAUCUCCGCUUAUCCCCCGAACGAAACACGGUCUUAAUGAAUUAGUCGGUACGAGUCCUAAGGAGGUUGUUGGAAUACCGACCAAAGAAGUGCUACAGGUGUACCCAUGGUAAAGUGUACAUCCCACACCAAUCUAAUACAACGGCUGAGAAUUUUUUUAUUUUUUUAAUUCAAAAAAAUUGUUAGCUUCACCCUUUUUUCCUGUUUCUCUCUUUCCCUCCAGAUCUCUCUUCUCCCUCUCUCUAUUUUCCUCCAUCUUCUCUUCGUCUCUCUCUUCUGCUAUCCUUUGAUCGUCUUGCACUGGGGCCAUCGUGAUGGGGGUGCUUGAGGGAAGGUGUGGAAUGAAAAAAAAAAAAAAAACCAACGUGAGAGACGAACUCCCGCCAAUUGAGAGAAGCGAGAGCGAGAGAAAACUCUGAAAAAGUUGGAUACUGAGAGAAGACGACUAGAGAUUCUUAAAGAGAGGGAGAGAGUAUGAGGAAAGGUGUGGAAUGAAAAAAAGCUAGUGUGCGAGAGAGCUUGAGAGAAGGUGUGGAACGAAAAAAAACAGGGUAAGAACAAAACCAACUUAAAACUCUGUUUAAUCUCAACCGCCCCUAUUUGGGGUGUAUAUAUACACCCCUAUUAUACACCCCAAAUAGGGGUGUACAAGUAACAUUUUUCUUUUCCUAAUAUAAAGGGAUAAAUGUAUACUCCCACACUCUGGAUGGGGUGUAUAUCCUACACCCCACCCAUCUAAUGGGUGAAGUGUUUUCACUAAUCACUUGAUGUGACUAGUAGUUAACACCCCACCAAUUUAGAUGGAUGGGGUGUAACUUGUACACCCCAAAUGGAGUGUCCAAGUAGUAUUUUUUUUUCCUAAUAUAUGAUAAAUGCAUAAACACCCCUGCAAACUUUAGAGCGUUAUCAAAUGACCCCAUAAACUUUUUAUUUUAGCAACUAGAGCCUCCAAACAUUAUGAAAUAGUUCAAUCAGCAAAAUUCAUCUUCAUUUUUUAUUUUUUUUUUCAAGCAUUUGAAUGAGAAACAUAUAUUUUAAUAUGUUUUGAAGCUUCACCAGAUUAGGCAAGUUGUCUUAAGAAGGACACAUUGAACUAUUCGAUAAAAUUUAAGAAAUCCGUCGCCAAACUUAAAGAAGUUUAGGGGCCUAUUUGUCAAAGCCAAACUGUUUAAGGGGUGCUUGUACAUUUUUCCCUAAUACAAAUGACAUUCCAUAUGCUCUUUCAAAUAACAAAAUAACUCAAAAUCCAUCUGUACAAAAAAAACAUUGAGAGCAAAGAUGGCUAGUUUUCGUAUACUUACCAUGUGUGUUUUUCCUAUUAAGUCAAAAGAGCAUCAGAGAGGAAAACACAUUGGAUGCAACAGGAAUUAUACACAAAUGCUUGACUUUCGCAGCCACAGUUCUUCGGAGCACCAUAAAAUGACAUAUAAACAAACUCAGCUGUAUAACAGAUCAUGUGUUAUUGAGGUCUGUCAGGUUAGUCACAGGUUACGGAGGUCGACAACAUCGAAUUUCACAUUCGGGUUCAUGUAGACGUGGGAACAAUGCUCAUAGAUCGGGCUGCCGUCGGCUGGCUCCUCAUGAGGAUGAAACCCCGUCUCGUGGCAGUUAUGCAUCACCGACAUACCGCCAGGAUCCGUUAGAUGGAAUAUACCGUGUUUCCUGCGCAAAGAUAAGGUAGUUUUUCUUUCAAAGAUCAUUUGAACCAAAAACAAAGUACUCCUAAUGAAUGAUUUCAUGCACAAACAGAAGGCAACAUUGUAGGAAAACCACGACUUUCACCUUUCCCUUCAUCAAAUGCUAACAAAGUGAUGAAAUCUUUACGUAAAGCGGUUACAUUUCAAAAUUUCAGAGGUAGCAUUAAAAACAUUCGAUUUACAGGGGAUCUGCAAUUUAAGCUGAAAACAUGAGAAGGCAAGUUUUCCCUAUGCAUCGCCGGAAUUAUCAAAGAACACGGCCAAUCAAAAAAGGCACUCUCAAAGUGCAAUUAAGGGAUAAUCAAUAUCAUAAUGAAUCCAAUUCUCCCUGAAUAGCGUAGAAAGUGGAAGAGAAACAAUCAGUAGUCACAUUCUUCACAAAUAUGCUGCAUGUGUGGUUUUAAAAUGCUACAGAACUUCAAACUUCUUUUUUCCUUUUUUCUUUUUGUUUUGCAGUGAGUUAACCAUGAAUAACAUGAUCUUUCAUAAAAAAGACUAAGAAAAUAUUAUUCUCCCAAUUCCAAGUCAUGAAUUCGAGCGAGUAGAACAUACCUGGAUGUGUCAGUUGGAGCCAUAACAAUCGCAAUUGCUUCUGGUAACAUAACCUGUUAAAAGCCAAAUGCAGUGGCCGGUGAGCAGUUAACAAGUUUGCACAUAAAAAUGUAACUCGAAUAACAAAAGUAUGUGCAUUCUUGAUAAUUCUAGAGAAAUGAUAUCUUGCAAUCGAAGCAGAUUGACUCGUAGUAUUUUACCAUCAAACAGAGACUAAAUAAUGAAAAUGUGCUAUCGGAGAUUCCUAAAACAAUUCCAUUAGAAGAAAGCAAGGGAAAGUUCAAUGUCUUUCAACAUCACCUGAUAUGAAUAAUGAUUGUGGAGAUCAAUUGAUGACAUGAAGCAUGUCUGUGUUGGAUGCGUCUGCCGAAAACAGAAGACAACUAACUUCAGUUAAAUUAGUCAAUAAAAGUAAGUUAGAGAAAACAUUACUAUCAAAAUAAAAGAGAGAGCAAGUUUUACUGAGAGACAACAAAAUAUUCACCAAGUAACAAUUUUAUUGAAGCUCCCUAGUAUAUAUACAUUUUGUCAAAGCAAAGUUCCCUUUUCCUAAUAUAGGGCGGAAAAAGCAAUGCACGUCUUAUGUCUAAAAUAUCAUUGAACUUGCUAAGUGCACACUCGUAGCGCAUGUUUGGUUCAUGAUUAGAAUAGGAACGGAAAAUAGAAUUGGAUUGCUUUGGAAUGGGAAAUGAAAUGACGAAUCAUCUAAAAAUGUUUAGUUCAUUUGGAAAUUGGAAUGCAAAUUGGAAUGAGAAUCUAAGAUUUUUGAGAGAGAGUUUUGAUUAAGGGAGUGCAGAGUGACAAAGGGAGAGGAAGGGGAAGUGUUUGUGAGAAAGGAUUUUGAGUAGUUUACUUUGGAAUCAGGGAUUCAAAGCCGAAUUGGGCCAUAAAUGAAUUUGUCAAUUUCCAUUCCAUAGUGGAUUAGGAAUCAGAAUUUGAUUUCUGUAAAAUUAAAAACAACUAUCGGAAUCAAUGAAUCUCAUUCCCAUUCCAUAGUCCAAAAUAGAUGGACCAAACAUGCCCUUAGGGAUAAUGAUGGAUCCAAAUUUUUUAGUCACUUAAAAUACACCAGCAAAAUAUAUUGCAAGGCCUUUGCUCCUCAAUUAAUAGAUAACUUCUUCAGUUUUAUCAAUAAAGAAAAGGGAAAGUAUGCAGAAUAUUAUAAAUUUUGUAUAAAUUUUGUAUUAAGGGGCAUCGCACCAUAGCAUAUAAUCAUAUGAGAAAGCUCCAUAUUAGCCCAAGUAAACAAAAGUUACAUACAAUUACCAUAGGGUAACAAAUUUAGUACCAUAAGUUUGAUCCUGAUUUCAGUUAUAUCCUCAGAGUUUCAAACUUCACUCCGCAUAACAAUUUAAUCCAUAGGUUGGUCUAGCCGAAAGAAGGCACAUCAAUAUCAUCUUAAGAGUUCAACAUUAAAAGCAGAAGUUAUUCAUGGACAAACUUGAGGAAAAAAGUUGCUAAAAUUGAACACCCGGCUGCUCUGAGGACACGACUGAAAUCAAAGUCAAACUUAAAAUGUCUGUGUUAGUCCAUAUAAUAUCAACUGUAGGGCCAACAAUUUAAUUUAGCUGAUGGAACAUAAUAGCAAAAAAUGACAAGAAGCAUAAAUAAGUUAGCUCACAUAAAUGGCAUUUACUUUCUACAUCUUUUCACAGAAUACAGUUCAAAAAAAAAAAAUCAUCAAUUUCAUAAAUGGUAUCUGUUUCAAAAGCAAAAAAAAAAACAAAUAUGUUCUACAAAACAAAAUACUCAUUUACGUAAGAUAUGAAAUGCCAGAUCCACACCAAAGGCUCAAAUUAUGGUCAAAAAAUAGAGCCCACAAGAGUAACACAUUCUCUUUUAAUUUCUCAAUAUUGUGUUAAAUUGUGCUUGCAAAAGACCUAGGCAGAGUUUUUCCUAUAUUGUUUAGAAUUGCUGAAGAUUAUAUAUCUUCACCUUUGUACAUGUAUAUGUUGGUAUGUAAAUUUUCUGUGGUAAUUCAACAUUGCCCGUAUAUGCUCCUAUGAUGAAUAGCAAAGGUACAAAAUGCUAAUGUACAUCUCGAAGAGUAAAGAAACUUACAUGAAUCCACCCAAGGGUAAAAAGUGAAUGCUUGUCUUGAACUUCAAAUAUUUCUUCUUCAUUUGUAGCUUGGCACUGAAAGAAAAUUACUGUCUAGUAAACGAGUGCCUUGAGCUAUAAAAAUAGCUAAAGAAGAUAGAACACACAUAUGAAACAUGAGAAAUAGAGAAAAAUGUAUAACAGUUAUAAAUUGAUUUAUGUUGUUCUAAAAAUAGAUUAACUGUAACUUCCUUAUCCCAGAGAAAAGAGAAUCCCUGAUCCUUUUUCCUCUUAAUAAAUAAUAAUAGCAUGGAAAGAACAUACAUAGCUGGGCUUCAAAAUUUUCAAACCAAUUUAAGCAAACUACAAGUGCUGAAGGCCAAAAAAAUUAAAGGGGGUUUUGUGGUGGGGGGGGGGGGGGGGUCCCAACAGGAUAAAGCCCAACAGGAUAAAAAACAAAUAUGGAAAACAUGAAAGAAACAACUUAAAAAGUAAGAAAAGGUGUACAAAUCUAAAACAUGAAAGUGCUAGUAAUGACUUACAGAAUCGGAUGUUGACUUCUGCUUCGGAAUUAUUAGUGUCGUCACAUAAAAUAUUCUGUUUUUCUACCAAAAAAAACAUGGGCGAGCAUCAGAAAUAUAAGUAAGGACCACAAAAAAUCAACCUUCUUGAUUGAAAAUCUUACCAAUGAACCUGCAAGAACGCCGCAUGUUUCCAAAUUUUUUGCAGUAUUCACCUCUGCAACCCUCAGAAAACAUUCCAGUACCUUCACAGGCUGAAAAAAAAGGGGAAAAGGUGAAGGCACUUCCAUGUCAAACUACAUAAGAAGUAUAUUGGAGCCCUAGCCUAUGACAGCAUCCAAUAUUACCGUUUGCAAUGCACAUUCAAUAAUGGACAUAACUAGAGUAUGGAAAUAAAAGAAAUAUUGAAUGUUGUUUAAAAUUCUUCAGAUUGCAAGUAAGAAUUAUUGAGCUUACAACAUGUAAAUCUUGGAACUGCCCAGAGUCAGACAUAGCUGGCCCUGGUCUUGGAUCUGCUACUUUUGAUGGGGGAAUCGCUUUGUACUCAGGCUGAACCUGGGCCAGAACAGGUGGAGGAGAUAGCUGCUUGAUGCUCAACGGGGGAGGUUCCUCUAGUACAACACUGGCAGACAAAGAAUGAGGUUCUUCUAAUGGAGUAGACCAUCUACCAUCAUCAAGAGAUAGAACUGAUUCCAUAUCAUAACUAUUCUUUUCAAGCUCAUUUUGAUCAACUGCACUGGAACUACGCUGGACAUCCUGGUUCAAGCUAUCGGGGAGUAAGCUGCGCAAAGAAAGCAGCGAAGGUUGAAAAAAUUACUGUCAUACAUUUACAUUUAGGGCUUAUUUGGCUUGGCUUUUGGAAUGGCUUCUGUACUCUAAGAAGCACCAGGCAGAUAGCAAACAAAAAUAUCUAGCCCUUUUGCAGUAGUGGAAAGUUGUAAUGAGCUUCUUGAAGCCCCAAGAGCAGAGGGCUCCAAGAGCGAAAGCUCCAAUGCAAAACCUAUGCUUUCCCAACAGUAUGAAGCUGAAGAGACGGAUAUUAACGGGAAAAAAAAAACCGGAAUGCUCUAGAUUAGGAAAAAUAAACCAAUCAAGCAUUUUAAUAUAGUAAAUCUAUCCUCGGAAGCUUUUAGCAUUGCUUGAGGUCCUCACCCUGAAAUCUCAUUUUGGGUCAUGUCAGCACUGCUGGGGUACUGAACCUGUAUAAGUCGCAGUAAGAAAUAGCUGUUACAACAGCUGAACUAAAAGUCAAAUAAGUUGCCAAGAAUCAAAGAAUAAUUUACCCUAAUACCAGUCACGGGUCCUCUCCAUUGCCCUUGUAGACCAUUGGGCCCCAAUAUGGAGUGUCUUGAUAGGGUUUCUUCUUUUGGAUAAGGCAGACUGAUAGAUCUGCAUCGUACAUUUUAAAAAUUAUUUUCAUUCUUUGAAUAAAAUUUUGACACUAUAAAUUUCGUAGCACGCUACUGGAAUUAACUGGUAAAGUUCAUAGGAAUUGAAGAUUUUUGCAGAGACUGUUUAAAGAAACAAACAGCAAAUAACUUGCAUUGGCUUUGUAACCAUAGAAUAUGGAAUCAACUAAACUGCACUACAAGGUAUCUACAACAAGAUCUUCCCUCACUGAUCAAGAUUGGGUAAAGUGCCGGAAAAAAAACACAAUACAAUUAGUUUACGAUUCAUUAAUAUAGUGAUUCAUAGAAUUGUUCUUGGGGAUACAUAUAGAUGUUACUCUUAAAUUUGUAGUCAUCAAGUAAACAUUUGGAAUAACAACACAUAAGAGACGUCCAAACCACGAUCUGAACAACCUAGUAUAAUUUGAGCAGAUGACAAAAUGAAACCAAGAUCGCUUACAUCAAAAUCACUUUAAAUAAAUUUCAAUCAAACUCUUAUUGUACAUUGUUACUAAUCUAAAGAUGUAAUUUAGAACACAUUAAAUUUGUGUUGGAAGACUUUAGUGAAAUAAUCUCCUAACUCAAGGUGAGUGGAACAUUUUCAACAUGAUAAUCUUCUGUUAGUUUAUAUGUGGCAGGCUUAGAAUUGAAGAAUAGAGAGUUUAGCUGCAAAAUUUUUCCACAUUUCACAUUCUCUUUCUUAGGAAAAGAACUACACUCUGAUUCAUUUUCUGAAACUCACUCAAUAUAUAUGCCAGGACUCAGCUACAAAGCUACUCAAGUGAUCUAUACGUAAACAUACAGUUUCUGAAAUUGUCUCUCAGGCUGUACAUGGUCCAACGGCACAACGUGACUUCGCCCACUUGAUGGCUUCUGCGAGAGUGCAGACAUACUUCCAGUACGUAUCUGCAUUUAUAACAAAAGACAAUAUAAGAUCAAUUACAUAGAAACCUAAAAUUAAGAGAAAAUAAUGGAAACAACAACAAUAUAAUGACAUGUAUGAGCUUUGUACCAUUAUGAAAAGCCUGCCCUUGAUCGCAGGGCGGAUUGGGCAGGCAGUAACAUGAGCUAAGUGCCUGUUUGGCCUAGCUUUUGCAACAGUUUCUUUACUCUCAAAACUAGCAGUAGCUAGUGUUUGACAAACAAAAAGUCUAGAAGUUUUGCACUUCCAAACUCACAAAAGCUGUUGUAGAGGAAACCGGUGAAAACUGCUAAUGCUUUUUCAAACAGCUUUACAGGAUAUCACUUCUACACAAGCUCCAGCCAGCACAUAUAGAGCCUAGCCCUUUUUAAUGUAUGUUCUGCAAUGUAUCUGGUCAAACAUACCUGUUCCACUUGGGGGCCCGGAAAGAUCUGCUUCGUUACAGGAGACAAGCUGUAGGUUCCUUCUGGACCAUCAGAUUGAAAGCUAUGCACUUUGUUGAGUUCAUCUACUUGACGUUGAACUUCUGGCUUUAGUUUUUCUAGCUCAUUGAUGACAUCCCAUAGUUUCUAGAAAUAACAGCAAAAUUAAACAGUAUAGUUUUUCUAGCUCAUUGAUGACAUCACAUAGUUUCUAGAAAUAACAGCAAAAUUAAACAGUAACUCAUGGUAAAACCUCCUUUAAAGACCUUUUUCCCGAAAUUCAUCAAGUAUAAACUUAAGUUCAUAGAUGUAACUAGACGAAGGGAAUGAAUCAACAUACCUUCUUGAAAAUGGCCUUUUCUUUUAGAUUGAAAGCCUGGUAAUCACGAUGGGAAGGUAUCGUCUCGCACAUCAAACUACAGAAGAAAAGGCAUUUUUUCACAGGUGUUUUAACUGGAUUUUAAUAUUUCACUUUAACAAAUUAUACUAAUGGCUACUGAGAUUGGAAAAUUACAUUUAGAAUAAUAGAAAGACCAUCAAGAUAGAUAUGCUGAAAUAAGUAAAAAAUAAGGUACUAUGCGAACUAAAAGUCUUUUCUUACCUCGAAAAACGCAGAAGUAUGAUAUACAAGUCAAUGAGAUUCUUCUCCUCGCGAUAAAUACUGGCCUGAACAUAAGAUGAAACACCACUAUAUUUAGAGAGCAUGAUCUACAACUAGCAUUGUGUUCAGCUAGAUAUAAUAAUGCUAUCAACAUACUACACUAUAGUUUCAAACAAUAUCCAGUAUAGCUGUCUCAAAUACGAGUGUUUUGAACAAGUUGAAUAUGGCGACAUUACUUAUUAAUCAGUACGAUAGAUCAAACAACACAACAAAGUUUAAUCCCUCUAAAAAUCAUCAGGAUUAUCAGCAAUUAGAGAGUAAAAGUGUAGAAGAUGCGGUUGUCAAUCUCAUCAGGAUUUUCUCUUCCUUUAAUUGCAUUUUAUAAGAACCAGAAGGACUCAACCGCAAUUCAAUAGAUUUAGCUUAUUUAAUAUGUUAAACCAAGAUGAUCAAAACUUUUCAAUCGCUCAAAACUGCAUUUCCAGAGUAUAAAGGCCUGUUUGCAAGUCAAAAUAAGUUAUCUGAGGAUAACUUAUAUGGUAGAAGAAUUUUUUACUGUGAUUAUAAGAAAGGAGUUUGCUUUUUACUCCUUGAAAGGUCUUGAUACCUAUGAUUUAGUAGGAUAGUAUAUCUCAUCUACAAGGUGAUUUAUCUCAUUAAAAAAUAAUAACUUGAAGGCUGGAUAUAGUAUCCAAUUCCAGACUUUGAUAACACUUCUCAACUCUACCAAAUAUACACACUUCCGAAUAAAUCAUGGACAUAUACCGAACAAGAUAUUUAUGCAUCCAAACAGGGCCAUAAUCUCUUAUGUCUCUAAUAAUUUUCUCAACAAAAGUAGGCAUGACGACAAUCAAACAUCCCAAAUCAAGUUUUCCAACAGGAAAUAGACUAAGGGUUCGUUUGGGAUUCCAAGAAGAUUGCAUUUCGUGUGAAGAAAAAGUACGGUAAAAAAAAUAUAUCAUGUUUGCUUCCGUACGUAACAUCACGUUACUCGCGUUAGGAUUAAACUACAAUUCAAUAUUUUGUUUAUGACACUAUUAAUCAUGUAAAAAUCUUGCAAAUACCAAUCAUUAGAAACCCUCGACCCUAAAAAUUCUAUUAUAUUCCCCAAUCGACAACAUCUCCUAAAUUCUCUAGGAAUUUUCCUCAAGUUUGCACCCAAUUUGACAUCUCAGCUCCCACGUUCCCUCAAAUUAUCAACAAAAUGAACAUAAUCGAUCAAACACCCCAAAUCGUUCCUUUCGAACGAAAAAUUGAAUACUGACAUUUAAAAAAAAAUGAACUGUGACACGGGAACGUUUUCUUAACAAAGCGACCAUAGCUACGAUCAAACACCGCCAAAUCCGUAUCCUUCGAACACAAAAUUGAACCCUAAUAUCAAAUUUAAACAAAAAAUGGGGAAUGGACGACCUGCGUUAUCAUCAAAAAUAGCAUGACUACGAUCAAAUACCCCCAACAUCGUAUCUUUCGAACGCAAAAUUGAUGCCUAAGCAAGAAAGGGGAAAGGGACCUGUUUGAGGAGAUUAUCGGCGAUGCGAUAGUAGUAGUGGAGGGAGAUGCGGUGGUCGACCUCCACGGGUCGCGCGCAGGCGUUGAUGUUGAUCGCCCUCAUCGGGGGCCUCAUCGCGUCGUCGUCGCCGGCGGCGGCGUCUCCGGCGAGAAGUGCGGCGGCAAAAUCGCCGGAGCUCGCUUCGUCUUCUUCGGCUUCUUCGAAGCGGCUUCGCUCUACAGCGCCGAUGCUUCGUUCGCAAGGGAAAUUUUGUUCGAGGGAGGGGCGAAGGGGCUUUCGCUGUGCGGAGAAGCAGCUGGGUAGUGAAAAUGCACGGAGGCCCCUCAGCUAUAAUAGAUUACAAACCAGGCCUUGAUUUGUCCUUUUUAGAACUUUUUUUAGCAUUUAGCCCGCUCAAAAGUUUUUUACAAAUAGCUCUAAAAAUUUAUAUUUGCAUAAAUAAUUCUCUUUUUCCCACGCAAACAAGUAGGGUUUUUUUGCAUUUGGCCCCCCUAAAAAAGUUAUUUUACAAAUAGCCCCACUAAUUUUAUAAUUAUAAUUUUAGUUUUUCGCUAUACAGACAUUACGUCAGCGCCACGCGAGCAGAAAUGGAGGAUAUAUAGUAAGUUGAACACGAGAAUCCAUUCACCGUGCCUAAACACGGUGAAUGAUUUAUCGUAUUCGGUGAAUAUAUUGAUCCCGCGCUUAAGUAAUAUAAUAUGCCAGACACGGUGAUUCAUUCACGUGUCUAGACACGAUGAAUGGAUUACCGAAUCUAGAUACGGUGAAUCAUUCAUCGUGUUCAACUUAUUCAACAACCACCAUUCGUAUUCGCAUGGCGCUAGCGUGUCGCCUGCGUAACAAGGAUAGAAGCAAAAUUAUAAUUAUAAAAUUAGUAGAGAUAUUUGUGAAAAUAAUAUUUUUGAGAGGGCCAAAUGCAAAAAAAGCCCACGCAGGCAUUUAGAUGGCAUUUUUAAGUUGAACACGAUAAUUUAAUCACUAUGUUUAAACACAGUGAUAUUUUUUUUUGUAUUAUUUUUUGUCCUAAGUAAAAAAAAAGAGGAACUAGCGUAUGGAUAUGAAUACGGUAAUUCAAUCAUCGUAUUUAAAUACGGUGAUUCAAAUAUUCAAUUACCAUGUGUAAAGCGUAAGCACGGUGAUUCAUUCACCGUGUCCAAUUUACUCGCAUGAUAAGAAGAGAACUAUAUAUAUAAAUAUAAAUUUGUUGUAGUCACUUGUAAAUUUCUUUUUUAAUAGGGGCUAAUGCAGAAAAAGUCCCAUUUCCUUUAAGAUAACAUGCAUGGAAACCCCCAACUAUAUAUUAUGACCUGCCCCCAACUUUAUUAUUUUUUUUAUUUCCAAUGGUUAUUUUUAUUUAGCACUAAUUUUUUUUUUUCAAAAAUACUAUUAUAUUACAAUAUUUUAUUAAUUUUAUAGUAUACUUUUAAUUUUUUUUAUUUUUCUAUCGUAUACUUUUUUUCCUAAAUAUUACUAAAUUAUUUUUUAUCCCAAUCUCUACUUUGUUGGUAACAAAUCUAUUAUUUUAGACAAAAUUUAAUAAUUUUAUUAAAAGAUAAAUAGUGAAAAAAUAUUAAAUAAAUCUUUAUGAAAGAUUCAAUGAAAGCUUCUAUCAAAUUAUUUUUAUUGUUUUCAUAUAUUUUAUUAUUUUUAUAUCAAAAUAAGCUCAAUUUAUGCUCUAUCAUUUUUAUAUUAGUAUAUUUUAACAACUUCAUAUAAAAUUAACUUAAUUACACUAUCCUAACUGUACUUUAUAAAUUUUUUUCAAUUUUAUAUUAUACUUUAUUUUUAAGUUACCGCUCACUAUACUUAAUUUUUAUUCAACUCCGCACUAAAAGAAUAACAUAUAUUGUUUUUAUAAAAAUUAUUAAAUUAUGGUUAAAAGUGAUGUAGCAUAUCAAAUUUGACAUAAAGAAUAAUAAAAUAUAUAAUAAUAAAAAAAAUUGAUAGAAGCAUUUAAUGAGUAUAUUAUAAGGAUUCUUAAUAUUUUUUUCUACUAUUUAUUAGUAAUGUUUAAUAAAAUUAUUAAAUUUGCGUAAAUAAGGUUCAGUUAACAAUAACAAAAAGAUGGUAGGAAAAAUUGUUGUCUUUGAAAAAAAAAAGAAGAGAGCAUAAUAUAGUAAAUAAAAAAUAUUAUUAAAAUAUAAUAUAAUACAGUGUAAUUAAGCCUAAAUCAUAAAAUUCAAUUCCUAACAAAUUUAAAGAACUUGAAAUAUGAUUUAAGCUAUUUAUUUUUUACAAAAAUAAAAGUUUAUAAUUUUUUAAUAUUAUUUACCUUUAUAUUUUUUAAAGAAAUUUAAUUGAUAAUUUUUAAUAGAUAAUACGAGGUUAAUGCUGGUGUAAUAUUAAAAAACUAGUGAAAUUUUCUGUGCAUUGCGGCGGGCUAAUUCUAUAAAAGACAAAAAGUUGACAAAGUAAAAAAUUUUAAAAUUUUUUAACUUGUUAUGAGAAACCAAUAAAUACAAAUAAAAAAUAUGAAACAAAUAUAGCAAAAUUUAUAAUUUCAACAAAUAAAUUACACAUAACAAUAAUAAAAGAAACGGCAAUAGAACACUACUCUAUACGUAUCUUAAUCCUACUACCAAUAUCGGGGAAGUGAACCCUGAUCUCCAUGUCGUAUUUGUCGCUAUUGUCAGCGUAGCUAAUCCUUGGUUACGACAAUGUCGAUCCCGUACAGGUCUCUCCAGACCAACCGUUUCUUCCUCUUCACUGACUCCAAAUUCAUCGCUAUUUCCUCCCACCGUGUCGUGCCACGAUCCUCAUAACCCUAAUUUCAUCCCAACUCAAUUUAAAGAAAGAGAAUAAAUUAAGAAAAUUAUAAAAUAUGAAUCAUUUUUGUGUCCUCUCUAAAAUAAGAAAAAAAAAUGAACAUAUUAAUUAGAAAGUGGGCAGGUGAAAAGAUGAAACAUCGGGCGGUGAUGAAAGAUAAUAAAUUCAAUUAUUAGGAAUAGAGGAGAACGAAAGGAUGAUGGAGGUAUUGUCAUGUUGCAAAGUUUAUAAGGAAUAAUGUAUAGGCCUUCCUCCCAUCGUGUCGCACCACGAUCCUGAUAACCCUAAUUUCAUCCCUACCCAAUUUUUUUUAAAAAAAUAAGAAAAUUAUAAAAUAUGAAUCCUUUUUGUGUCCCCUCUAAAAAAAGGGAAAAAAAAACUUAUUUCUUUUGUAAAAUUGAUUUGUUUAGCUGAUAAUGAAUAAUGUGAACACAUUAAUUAGGAAAUGGGUAGGCAAGAAGACGAAACAUCUGAUGAAAGAUAAUAAAUUCAAUUAUUAUGAAGAGAGAAGAACGCAAUGGUGAAGGAGGCAUUGCCGUGUGGCAAACUUUAUGAGGAAUAAUAUAUAGGUAGGUAUAGGUAUAUAGGUAUAUAUAGGUGUAUAUGGGUAUAAAGGUAUAUAUUUUGUACAAUUGAUUUGUUUAAAUGAUAAUGAAUAAUGUGAACAUAUUAAUUAGAAAGUGGGCAGGUGAGAAGACAAAAUAUCACGCGGUGAUGAAAGAUAAUAAAUUCAAUCAUUAGGAAGAUGGGAUAAGGAAAGAGCAUAGAAAGCAUUACCACGUGUCAAAGUUUAUAAGAAAUAAUGUAUAGAAAAAGAAUAUAGAAUAUAGAAAUAGAUUCAAUUGUGCUAUGAGAUUCGUGCUACAAGCAUGAUGGGCAGCAGAUGAUUAGGUCUCAUGUGGGCCCCGCAUAGGGCUGUAAACGAGUCGAACUCGAGCGAGCUGGAGCCAGUUCGAGCUCGGCUCGAAUGUUUCAAGGUCAGCUCGUGUUCGGCUCGAGCUCGUGACGAGCUCGAAAACUCCGACUCGUGAUCAGCUCGAAACUUAAUCGAGACGGCUCGUGUUCGGCUCGUUAGCUCGAUUAUACAAUCCCCUCCCAUUUCCUUAAAAAAUAUCAUAAGAAAAAGAAAAAAAAAAGAAGAAAGAUGAAGAUUAAUAGGAGAACCGGUUGAAAGUGUCGCCGCUGAAGUUCGCUGCCAGGGGUUUGCGAACGGCGAAGAAUGCCCUGCCGAGGGUGUGCGAAUAACAAAGACAACUAGGGUUGUGUCGUGUGGUUGUGUGACAGAGAGAGAGAGAGAGAGAGAAAGAAAGAGGCAGAUGUGUGUGCCUGUGUGAGACUGAGAGAAAGGAGACGGAUGUGUGCCUGUGCGAGACUGAGAAAGAGAGAAAAAGAGAGAAAAAGAGAGCGGCGGAGAGAGAGAAAGAGAGAGAGAAAGAGAGAGAGGUGGCUGUGUGUGCAGUGUGCGGUAGUAUGAAAAAAAAAUGUGGGAAAAGUAAUUAGGGUUAGGAAUGGAAAGAGUGAAACUUUUUCCAUGGGCCUAUGGGCCAGGAGUGAAAAAAAAUUUAAAAUAUAAAUGGGCAUAUGGGCCUCUUUUAUAAAUAAGCUGAUUUUUUUUUAAGUUGGGCUAAAUAUUUAAAAUUAAUAAUCUGUAUUAUAUAUUUAUGAUACAAAUAUAAUUAUAUAUAUAAUAUAAAAUUAUAUUAAUAUAAAAUAAAUAUAAUCGAGCUGUUAUCGAGCCGAAUACGAGCGAGCUGACCACCUAGCUUGUGUUUGGCUCGUUUAUUAAACGAGCUGAAAAAUCCAGCUCGUGUUCAGCUUGUUUACUAAACGAGCGAGCCGAUUUCGAGCUCAUUUUGAGCCGAACAUGAGCUGGUUCGCGAACAGCGAGCUAGAUUGCCAUCCUUAGCCCUACAUGGCAUUCUCACAAGAUCGAUAUAUGUAAGCGUUACACCGAAAAAAAUGUUCAAGGUAGAACGGGCUUUUUUUAUUUGCAUUUAGCACCCUUAUAAUUUUUUUUCAUAAAUAAUACCGUAAAUUUAUAAUUGCAAAGCUAGUUCUAUUCAGCCACACAAGUACCACAGAAGCGCCACGUGAGCGGCCCGCUAGAAAAAAAAUCAUAAGUCAAAUACAAUGAAUCAUUAACCGUGUUUGGACGCGGUAAACUGUUCAUCGUGUUUAAACGAAAUACGGACUUUUAUACUGCCAGGCGGGUUGGUUGGGAUAAUUGAGUUCUUCUGAGCAAAUUGGAUACAGCGAACAAUUCACCGUAUUCAACUUAAUUUUUGACCUCAGUCGCGCUGAUGUGAUACGAACGUAACGAAAAUAUGACUAAUUUUAUAAUUAUAAAUUUAGAGGGUUAUUUGUGAAAAGAAAAAAUUAUGAUGGUGCAAAGAAAGUGAAAAAAAAAACUCCAAAUUACCUUAAAAAAAACGACGUGGAGGUGCAACGACGACGAAGGGUCUUACGCCACGUGGCGUAAAUCUAUUGGCUCGAACACCGAGCUCCGAGGCUCUCAUUGGUCCGUCUCCGAAAUUACACGUUUACACAAACACCGCGGAGUCGACUCCCCCCGAUUCCGAUACAAAUCUCCGUUCGCGGGGGAAAAAGCGCUCUCGCUCUCUCUCUCUCUCUCUCCGAACCCUAAUCCCCGAAUCGAAAACCCUAGCUUCGAUCCCCACAUUCCCCCUCGAUCGCUCCUCCGAUCGGGGCCGAGAGCUCCAAUGGCGCUGCGGGGAUCGGCGCUGCUGCUCCUCGCCGUGCUCCUAUCGCACGCGUUUUUGGGCCUCGAAGGGUGCGAUCGCGAGCCUAAUUCGUCUCCUUCUUCAACAGGUUUUGGACUUCUUCGGGGGAAUUUUAGGUUUUUUUUUUCUGAUUUUUUGGGGAUUUUUUUGGGGUUUUAGGAAGAGCUACUACGAGGUUCUCGGCGUGUCGAAGGGGGCGUCGGAGGAGCAGAUCAAGAGGGCUUAUAGGAAGCUCGCGUUGCAGUAUCACCCCGAUAAGAACCCUGGGAACGAGGAGGCGAACAAGAAAUUCGCCGAUAUCAACAAUGGUAUGUACAAAUCAUGGUAUCUGAAAUGAUUUUGUUUAUAUUUUUUGUGAAUUUUCUUUGUGAUUUGGAUCCGAUUUAUCGGAUUUCUUGAUGGUUUUGUUAGCAUACGAGGUGUUGGCGGAUCAGGAGAAGAGGAAGAUCUACGAUCGGUACGGCGAAGAGGGUCUGAAGCAGUUCGCCGCCGGCGGGGGAAGGGGUCCUGGGAUGAACAUCCAAGACAUCUUUUCCAGGUGAGAACAUGAUCUAUAUUAUCAAUAAAUUUAUUUCCUGGAUCUGGUCUAUUAUGUUGUCAGCGGAUCAGACAAGAUAUGAUGUAACCAAUAGCCUUGUCUAAUAGAUACUUGCAUUUAUACAUUUCUUUUCCGCAAUUUCGAAACAGAUUUCUCAAACACCACAACGACAUAAGGGCUAGUUUUUUUUACCAAUAGAAUUUGUGAGAGAAAUGGACUAUUUGAAAGUAUAUGGAAAUAUGCUUCUCCUGUCCAAGGGCCUAUCACAGUUAUCACACUAACUGCUUGGCAUGAUCUGCAUGAUGCAUGGUUAUUUUUCUGAAACAAACAGUGAAGUUCUCACCUUGCGUCCAACCCAGUGUAAACCGCACACCUCUUGGGCCCUUAAACAGGGCUAUAUGCAAAUUAUUCUUUGACAUCGUGUCUAAGACAUCAUCUCUGGAUUGGACCUGCUCAUAUGCUGUUUUCCAAUGAUUGGAGAAUUUUCUUAACCACCACUAUGCUGUUUGCUUCUCAUUACCCUUGUCACGAGGAAAAAUUAUGGUGAUACGUAAUUUGGUUAUGGUUAGUGAAGAAUGCAGGUGUAUCUGGUUCAAUUUUUUCUGAAAAAGGAAGCAUCUGUUAACUAUCUGCUAAAAUAUGAAUCAAGCAACAAAAUUAUAUCAUUUCUAUCUGUUUUUUUUUUUUUUUUCUUUCCUCCAGUUUCUUCGGAGGUGGUGGGGGAGAAGAGGAGGAAGAUGUCGUCGUUAAAGGUGAUGAUGUAAUAGUUGAAUUAGAUGCUACGCUAGAAGAUUUGUACAUGGGAGGAUCAUUGAAGGUAAUACAGCUAUUGCCAAAUUUAGUUCUCUUGUUUAAUGUCAUGAACCGUCCUUUUCAAGCUAAACAGUCUAGAUAGCAUCUAUGAGGUCAUUAUUCGGUAGCAGAUGCUUGUUGGCUUUGAACUUGCGAAUACCUUUUCUACUCUAAAAAGCUAUUUUUUUGCAAACAAAUAUUCUCUAGCUUCAUGUUUUGGAGGGUAGCUGAAAUGAGCUUGUCCCCCAAAUCACCGGUCUAAUUUGAGACUUCAGUUUCACUUUUUUGGAAAACAGCUAGUGGAGUUGAAUGGAAAAUCUAUUAUUGCUUCUUUAAAACAUCUUCUCAAACACGCUUUAGGUACUGUUUUCAAAUAAUUGUUCCAUCUACUUCUAUGAUUCUAUCAACUAUCUUUCAUGUCUGUAGUGUGGUUUUUCAGGGUUAAUGAAAGGUUUUGCUUCUAUAUAUACAUAAAUUCUUACUGUACUGCAAUCUUUCUAGGCUAGCUUCACACAUGAUGGAAUAGUUCAGAUUCAAGUGGAACAACGUGCUUUUGACAAUUUAUCUUAUACCUUAAUGUUCUUUAUGUUGAACCACAGGUUUGGAGGGAGAAAAAUGUUAUAAAGCCAGCUCCUGGCAAGAGGCGCUGUAACUGUAGGAAUGAAGUUUAUCAUAGACAAAUUGGCCCAGGAAUGUUCCAACAGAUGACAGAGCAGGUAUAGUUUGUUGCUAUUUCAAUGAUUACUAUCUAAGAUGCGGCACAAUUUUUUUUUAGCAGCAGUUUCUCUCUUUAGUCUUAUGCGAUCAAUUUCUAUAUGAUAAUUGUUUGUCAAGCAAGGAUUACCAAGUCAUUGGUAUGGCCCACGCCGAUGUGCGGGCGGCAUGGGGUCCGCCGAUGUUGCAGCACCAUCCCCACCCCCUCAAAAAAAANAAAAAUGCUAGUGGCUUGGCAUGCAUUGACAUGGUUUUUUAAACUUAAUUUUCAUGAAUAUUAGUUUUUGAGAGUACUUUAGUAUCACUAAAACCUAUAAAAAUGGUUUAUAUAUUAUGUUUCACACAAUUAAGUAAGAAUAGAGUCAUAAUCAUCUUAAUAACUACAAAAAAUCAUUUUAUAUUAUUAUGAAAGUAUAUAUGCAUGAAACUAAAGCCAAAGUCAUAAUGGAUUAAAAAAUAUAUAUAGGAAGGCACCAUCAUGGAUAGAAUUACUGGAUUUAGAUUGAUAGAAAAGAAGUGGAGAAAAUCUUUCUAUUUGUUCGCUAAAAAUUGGUCUUAUAAUGCAAUGGAACUAACUAAUUGCUCCAAAUGUUGGUAUAUUUACAAGAUCUACAUAUGUUAACUCUGAAAAGACUUUUUUAUAAAUUUUUACUUUUAAAACAUGAUCCUAAAAUAUGUAAAGAAACCCAUUAUGUUGAUACAGUGUUGGCAUGACCCACUGCCACGUGCUGGCACCGGUGGCACAGGCAAUCCUUGUUGUCAAGUAAAAUUGAUAAGUUUCAUUCUUUUGUGGUUUCAGCAUACUUGUUUAUAGUUUAAGAAGGUCAGACAAGUUUUUUUUUUUUUUUUUUCUAUAUUAUGAAAACAUGUUCUGUUUCAGGUCUGUGAACAAUGUCCAAAUGUGAAAUACGAACGGGAAGGUUAUUUUAUAACUGUUGAUAUUGAGAAAGGGAUGCAAGAUGGACAAGUAAGACUUCAUCUUCUGAACUCAAGCCUUGUAUAUAUUUCAUGAUAAAAUUGGUUUUCUACGAGACUUGUAUGUCCACUGUAGCUUUCUUUGGCUUACAGCAAGAGUUUGGUUGCGAAGUCGAAUUCGACCUCCUACUUAUUGUUUUAAGGUUUCUUGGCCUAGUAUAAGAUCUUUGUGGCUAAUGAUAUGCCGAUUUUUUUUUUUUGUUUCUUAAAUAUUUUAAACUAGCCAUGUAAAGAUGCUUAUAAUCACUGGCUAGUGUUUGACUGCUGCUUUUUAUGCGAGAAACUGUUCUGAUAUCUUCUUUAGCUCAUGCAUGAUUGUACACCUGUGUCCUUUUAGGAGGCAAUAAAACAUGCAAAAGAUCUGACCGCCCUUUAACAUCCAGAAUCAUAUUCCAUGUGUUUUUUCUACUCGCAAUAAUUGAGACCAGGAUAUAUGGCUAUUUUGUGUAGACUGGAGCUGAACUCUUUUGUUUUUCCUUUUCUUCUCCAUCUUUUAUCUUAAUUUUUACGCUAAGAUUUCCUGACGCUCCUACUUAUUUGACUUUGUUUUGUAUGUUCCUAGAAAUUGCUUUUAGAUGUCAGGACUGAGAUGUGUUUCUUCUCCUUGUUCUCAGGGCAUUGACAAAGUAAUUUUUUAUAUCUAGCAUGACAAACGUUACAUUGUGUAUGUAACAUCCAUUAAAACCGUUUGACAUCCACAAGCUAAUGUUUUGUUACCUCUUGCAAUUUUUUUGUUCUAGCUAUGACGUGAGACCACAUGUUUUAUGAAUCUGGUGAUCAAUUUCUAUUUAUAAGUCUGUAACUUAAAAUUGUCGGCACGUUUUGUAGGAGGUGCUAUUUUAUGAGGAUGGCGAGCCUAAAAUUGAUGGAGAAGCUGGUGAUCUGAAGGUUCUACACUUUUUUCCCUCUUUAUCUGUUAAAAUGAAUUUUACUUGUUAGAUCAUGAAUAUUGUUAUUGAAAUAAAAACCAUCUUUCUGAGCAGUUUAGAAUCAGAACUGCACCGCAUCAACGCUUCCGGAGAGAAGGCAAUGACCUGCAUACUACGGUGACAAUUUCACUGGUAAUAUUCUUUCAUUCCCAAUUUCUGUUUCAACUUUAGUUAGACAGUCAGGAUCUACGAGGUUUCUCCAAUGAUGAAAUACGACUAAAUAUUUAAUUCUAUUCCUUGUUCUGAUGAAAAACCAUGUAGUCUCUAAUUUCAUUUCAGAAACUAAUGUUGACAAUGAUUGGUUUUGCUUUGUUUCUUUUAUAUUUGAUUUGCCUUCUGGAAUGCAUAGAUCCAGGAUAUGCUUGGUUUUGCUUUGUUUCUUUCUUAAUAGUAUUUUCAUUGUGUAAAUUGCACUAUUAGUCUCUGAACUUCCAGUCAAAGUUUCAGUUUGGUCCUCGAAGCUUAAAAGUUCGACAAUGAACACCCCAGCUUAUAAUUUCUCCUUUUCUCUUUAACUCUGCCAUCUCUUUUGGUUAGAUAAAAAUAGUUGCCUGCUUAUGGUUCAUCUGUGUAUCUAUGCAUUAUUAAUCCAUCAGCUCUUGAUCUAUCGUGUUUUCAAUCCAGCCAUUUAGCUUCUUAAGUAAAGAAAAGACCGCAAUUGUAUGGUUUGUUUACGUACAAAUAUAUGAUGAGAUCGAGGGCCGAUACAUUGGUGUAGGCAAAAACUGUUCCUUCAAUGGUAGAUGAUGACAAUGACUAAAGUGAAAUACUUCCUUAAGUUCAGUGUAUUUGGAAAUUCGAGGAAUUGGAACCAAACACUUGACUAAAAUUUUGGGGAAUAAUAGUGCAACUGUGCAAGUCGUUUUAUUUUACUUUAUUUUUCAUUUUAUGAAGACUUAUUCUUCUUUAGUUCAAAAUUUUGUGUUGAGUGCUGCCUCGAAUCUUAAAUAGAAGUGGCUAUGAAAUUAUAUCACCUGAGUCUAAGCAUUUCAUAGUUUUUCCCUGUCGUGACGCUAAAUUGAGAGCAACAAUAUGUAAAGCUGCUUUCACUGCUAUCUCACUUGGAACAACAAUAGUAAGAACGAGGUUUAACUAUUUAUUAAACUCUGAAAUUCUUAUUCUUCUUCGAUCGUCUAACUAUUAAACCAAACUUAUUAUUCUUCUUUAUUGCUUCAGUUCCUGUUAGUACACAGCGACUUGAUCUCAUGUCUCUCUCUUUUCUUUUAUAGCUACAAGCUCUUGUAGGUUUCGAGAAAUCCAUUAAGCAUCUCGACGAACAUCCUGUGGAGAUUGGCACCAAGGUUAGUUUGCUUUUCGUUCUUCUGUUCCGUUAAUUUUACAGGUAAAAAAUCGCAUGGACCGUACUAGAACUAUUGCGCACCUUUUGACCCCUCAAAUAGGUACAUGAAACUUCAAAAGGUCAUAUUCUACUAUUUGACCUCGCAAUAUUUAUAACAUGUUUGGCAGAAUAUCAUGUAUCGUAACAGAACAUUCCACUAGAUUACAUUAUGUGAUGCACCAGUAGAAGUAUCACAAGAAUCAAAACUUUAAAAGUUUAGGUACCUAUUUCAAAUGCGCUCUUAGGUCUGGUGACGUGUGUUAGGUUUUACCAAUUUUACGCGUAAGUCUAUUUUUCUUCUUUCUAUUUUUCUGCCCUAAUAAUCUCUUACUUCUUAUCGACCAAUGGGAAACUCUUAGGGUAUCACGAAACCUAAAGAGGUGAGGAAGUUCAAAGGAGAAGGGAUGCCGCUCUACCAAAGCACAAAGAAAGGAGAUUUGUAUGUCGCCUUCGAGGUUCAGUUCCCGAAAUCACUAAGUGAAGAUCAAAAGGCCAAGAUUAAGGCAGUUCUUUCCUGAAAGAAAAAAAAGGCGGUCGCAAGUUCUCACCCUUUUUUGUAUCGUGACUGCCUCUUUUAGAAAGUGUACACCCCCUGGCGAUUUUUGGAGGAGCUCGUUUGGGAAUUAUGUCUUACGGUCUUAUCUUUUUCGUGUUCCCUGCUUCCAUGGGGUGUUUAGUCUGACAUAAUAUUUUUUUUUUUCCGUUCCCUUUCUCUUACAGCGAAAUGUAAUUUAGAAACCGAAACUGGUUAAUUGGAGACAUAGUUCUGAUUAUUUUCCUAUAAUUGAGGGAGAUAGGGAAAUGUAGUUUAUAGAAUGAUGCUCAGUUCUCCGUCUGUCUCUUGAGUUGGUAGAGCUUCUUUAAAAAGUGAAUUUUUGCUGUUUUGAGUGGUGGAAAAGUGCUUCUUGAAAAUCUGUGAUUGGCUUUUCCAUCUAAAUUCUCUCUAGUAGCACAAAUAGAUGCCAAGCUACAGAUCUGGGAUUUAGGAUUUAGGAUUUAGGGUGCAGAUUGUUUGCAAUCUAAUAUAAAUUUGGAUAUUUGUUUGGAAAAAGAAAAGGAAAAAAACACAUAUCUAGUAAUUUCUUUGUUCUUGCUAGUCUAUUUUUCACAUCCAAUGAUGCAUAAGGAUUUAAGUGCGAGGACAUGGGAUCGUGCUGUAAACUUAUUAUGGCAUGGUGCAUAUUGGAUCGUGUCGAUGUUUGCCGAUCACAAAAAAUAAAUCUGUGCCGACACGUAAUGACAUGAAAUAUAUAUAUUUUUUUAGCAAUAAAAUAUGUCAAUUAUUUAUUAUAUAUUUUUAUCAAAUCUUUUGAAUUUUAUUGAAAAAAUUACUUAUUAACUUCAAGAAUUAAGAGUUUUGAGUUAUGUUAUCGGCAUGAAAGCUAUAUCGUAUUGAUAUUUUGCUGGUACGGUGUGGUACAGUAAUAUCGUUAUACUUUAAUCGUGGAUAAAAAGCUAACAAAAGAUGAUGCCUUCAAUUGCUUAAACUUUCUUCUAUUCACUUAACUUUUUUCGACAAAAAGAACAGGUCAUACCCUUAGCUAGGUAGAGCCUUAACUUUUGCUCACUUGAUUAAACUUUAUAUUCAUGUGUAGAAUCAUAGAAAUGCACAAUCCAUGAAAACGCAACCGCCCUCCAAUUGAGGCAUUUGGUUACUUGAAAAAAUCGCGAAAAGCUAUUGCCCGCAAAAAAAAAGAAAAAGAAAAAGAAAAACCCCUUACCACAGUUAUCAUUUUCCGAAUUAAAAAAACUGAAAAACAAAAAUAAACGGACUUUUCUAUAAAAUCUGACAAAAAAAAAAUUCAGAAAAACUAAAAUUUUCGGAAAACCAAAUGAACAGAAACUAUUUUUCCAACCCAAAAACUAUUUUCUGAGAUAAUUUUUCGGGGAACCAAACAUUCGCUGACGGCCAUCAACCGUCAACUGAACCUGAAAUUCUGUCAGCCGAAAAGAACAGAACAGGUGUGAAAUUUGGCAGAAUCCAUUAGAAGUCAGAAUUCCAAGUCAACUGAUGAGAAUAACUCAAAUUGCAACAUGCAAAACUUAACUAGGCGUUUCACAAAAGUAAAAGGACAAAAAAAAAACUAAAAAAACAUGUCAAAUUGGGGAUCAAUUUGAAGAAAUUUUACUCAAGCAAGCAACAAUAUACAUCAUUCAUAAUCAACAGGAAGAGUUUCCUCGCGAGAUACUGAGCCCAUCACAGAAUUGCAAAUAUAGGAAGUUUCUGAAUACACGAAAAGAGGCGCGGUCAAAUGGAGAUUUCCGUAGAGGGUUGAUUUGGAGAGUGUUCACAUUGAAAUCAUUGAAUAUGUAGGUUCUCUUCCUUUACAGUUGUUAGCAAUAUCAAUAUUUUUCAAACAGUCCCCCCACCCCUACAUUUUCGAUUUUAAUCCACCAUCACAGAAUUUCAAUUCUGAGACUUUUCGAGUCAUCCUUUCAUUCAGGAUUUACCAGCGUCUCUUCAUUCACGUCGAAAGCUUUCCUCGCCUGCUUAAGCUCCUCGUUCAUGGACAGCAAUUCGGUGCAGCGGUGGAGUUUUCGUGAAUCCUGUUUCAUUAGAGUACAUAAAAGGAAUUAACAUCUCAAAACGAAAACAAAAGGAUCAUCGCGCGAAAAAGAGACUUAGGCAGCAUCAAAAGAAACGGCGGAAAGCAUAUAUUCAUCUACACAGUUUGUGUUAAGUAGAUCUUGUCGCUCCAAAAGGGAAGUCUAAUUCGCAUGACAUGAUCCAGAUACGCAGAGAGUACUUGAAUGUGUAACAUCCAUUAUCAUGACAAGAACAUGAGAAUAAACAUACCUUACGGAUCAGAUAGAGAAAAUCGUCAGUCAAGAGCUUCCCCCUCUUCGAUGCAACAUUUUGUGCAUUAUGCACCUGGCAAAAGUUAAUGCAAGAAGGGGAGGGAAAAAAAAAAGAAGAAACUAUCAAAUACAGAGUAAUGACAAAGUAAUUUUCACAUAUUGAAACCACGCCAGAGAAGUAAAAAUAUGUGAUAUACAUAGUGGCCAUGACAUUAUAUUGAGCAGGUCCAGUCGUAAGCAAGUUCCAUGCUAUCAACACUUCCCACCAAUAUAAUUGAGCUUCAUUUGGUUCUUUGACUAAUUGAUGAUCAGAAAAGACGACAAAUCUCUAGAAAGAAAGUUGUCCUCUUUCCCCUCCAAUAUGUGCAAAGUAAUCAAAGAUUUUUUUUUAUUGAAUCGCAUUGAAGUCAUGAAACUGAACUACAACAGUACAACCAGUAAGGUAGUUCAGGCACUCUAAGCCUUCUAGCUCCAAAACACCUCUCUUGUUCCUAAUUCAUUAUUGCCAGUUUCUGGCACCAAUUUCAUAAAGGUAAAUGGCAGAAGAUAGCAGGUCCUAGGGAAUCUGUCGAUAAGUUUGGAGCUUUUUCAGCUGUGAAGAUGAAAGAUGUUUGAUUUCUGUAUGUUUUCCUCAUAAUUCCAAGAUAUUGGUGCUAUCUCUAUCCUAACUCCUAAUAUGGAGCCAUUGCAAAAUAAAAUAUAUCUGAUAUUGAGUACCACAUUAAUCAUAUGGCAAGAAAUCACAAGAAUGUAGUUUUCAAGACUGUAGAAUUGCAGACUAUCAUGCGACAAGUGGAGCUUUUUCUAUGUUGAAACUAACACGGUUGAAACAAAACUUAAAAUGAAUUUUAUUGCCAACGAGAAAAAUCCAAUUGCCAAAGUAAACAAAGGCAGGUAAACAAUACCAGAUCAGUGACAUACUCCACAACAAUGUCCUCCACUAGCGCGACAGUUUCUGGAAGUGGCUGCAAAACCAACAGGAGACUCUGAGGCUCUACUUUUAUGAGACAAAACGAAGAUAAUUGUAGAAUAGCUAAUACACUGCUAGCACUAGAAAACUACGGAUUAAAGCAAAAAACAAAAUGACGGCCAUUCAAGUGUUGCCUUACUGUAUAAUAUACAACCAUCAAAUCUAAACUUUCGUGGGAGACCAUUUAUUUUAUUGAAACAAUUAACCCACUCUAUUGAACCAGUUAAGAAACUGCCUAUGCUGUGGACUGUGGUUCACAUAUAACAGGUUAUUGUUUUGCCGAUCUAAUCAUUCCUCCUCACUAAGCCCCAUUAGCCCACUGAGAUUGCUAGUCCUCUUAGGACCUGUUUGGCCCUGCUUUUGCUUUCAGCAGCAGCUGCCAGCAACAAAGCAUUUGGGAUUCUGAAAAAGUCUGUAGCAUCUAUUGUAGCAAGAAUCAAAAGUAUCAUUUCGAGGCCAAAAAGCAAAAAAGCUCCAAUCCUCAGCCGAUACUGCACCAAUCAGCACUACAUCGUACAGUAGAGCCAAACAAGCCCUAAGAAUUGUCCAUAAGAAUCCCAGUUCAACUCCUCGAGCUCCGGACUUCUUGUUUGGUGGAUGCUUGGCUGAGCCAAACAGGACCUUGAUCAUGCUAUUGUCAUUUCUCAUUGUGUUUUAGCCACCAAAACAUCAUUUGUUCAGCUACUACUGUCGUUAUUUGGAUAGGUUCAUAAAUUACGAAUGUGAAUUAUUCAACAACAGGCUCAAAUUCAGAAAAUUGCUAAGCAGUGUUAAGCCAAACCAAUAGAGAAUGCUAGUUAAUCAGGAAAAAGUAACUUACAUUCUGAUCGUCGCCAAAGCCAUACAUCAUGUGUUGCACUGCGACAAACAGAGAGACAUAAAGCAACUAUCAAGAAUGAAACUUUAUCAUAAAUCAUAAAAGUUACGAACAUCUUUUACAGCAUAAGAUCAAUAUCACGAAACACAACUCUCCCAGUACAAAUCAUCGCUCAUCUCGAUUUUCUGAGAAAAACCCUACCUAUGCCACAAAUAAGAAUCACUAUUUUAACUAAAUGACUUUGAAGGAAGAGCAGAUGAGACGUAAAAAAGAUAAGUAAUGUUGCGAUCGCAUUCGAGGACAUUAAAGUAAUAGUAUUUCGAGUCCAAUAUCAAACUUUUAACAGAAAUUAGUAGCCUUUUAGCUAUUCAGAAGCUUUUUUAGCACUAAAUUCAAACAAAAGCCCCACUUUAAUUGACAAAACUAGUUGAGAUGUAUAUUCCAUAGAUUCUACAACCCAAUUUUCGCUAGUUCAUCUAAAAUAUUACAGAAAAAAAAAAGAAGAAAAAGAAAAGAAAAGAAAAGAAAAUGAAAAUCCUCUCCAAUCAAAAGAACGAAGAAUCAAAAGGAAUUGGAUCAAAACUUUUUUAACAACAAAGAAGAACAGAAAGGAGUGAUGAUGAUGAUGAUGGUAUGGUAGGGUAGGGUUAGGGUUAGGGUUAGGGUUAGGUUUUCCUUACGAUCCUUCUGGAAGAUUCCGCGCUUGCGCUUGAAGGAGGAGGACUCGGCGGGCUGCGACGACGAACCCCCGGCCUUCGCCUUCCCCGAGGAGGAGGCGGAGGGGGGGAUCCCCGCCGAGGUCGAGUUGAUGUUGUUGUUGUUGUUGCUGCUGCUGCUGUUGUUAUGCAUUCCCUAACAAAUCGCCCCACAAAUCAACAACAAGACGAAGACGACGACGACGACGAAGAAGAAGAAGAAGGGGAAGAAGAUGUUGUUGUUGUAGUUGUUGGAUUAAUAAGCUGAAACAAAGGCGGCGGCGGCGACGGAGGCGGCGGCGGUGGCGGUGGCGGCGACGGCGGCGGUGGCGGCGACGGCGACGGCGACGGCGACACGGCGACGAGAAUUGGUGGGGUUGGGAGAAGCAAGGGGGUGGGUUUCGACGCUUAUAGGAGUUGGGGGGACUUUUUUAUAAAACAACCCUCUAAAAUUUUAAAAUUUGCAAAAUAACCCGCUCAAAAUUUUAUUUGUAAAACUAACCCUCUUUUCGCCACGUUUGAAUUUUUUUUAAAGGCGGUGAAUCGUUCACCGCGUUUUCCCAUUUCUUUUAAAGACGGUGAAUCGUUCACCGUCUUCUCCUAUUUCUUUUAAAGACGGUGAAUCAUUCACCGCUUUCUCCCAUAACUUAUUUAUUAUUAUUUUUUAUAUUCCAUAUAUAAUACUGACAAUCACAUAAAAAUUCUAACAAAUUACAUAUAAUCUUAACAACUUUUAAAUCCUAAUAAUUUAUCUAUAUAAUUUCAUAUAGUCUUAACUGCCUUUAUAUGAAAUUAUAUGGAUAAAUUAUUAGGAUUUAAAAGUUGUUGAGAUUAUAUGAUUCUAACAAAUUACAUAUAAUCUUAACAAUUUUUAAAUCCUAAUAAUUUAUCUAUAUAAUUUCAUAUAAUCUUAACUGCCUUUAUAUGAAAUUAUAUGGAUAAAUUAUUAGGAUUUAAAAGUUGUUAAGAUUUUAUGAGAUAUAGAAAGAAACAGUAAAUAAAUGAAAGGCGGUGAAUGAUUUACCGUUUUUAAAAGAAAUGGGAGAAAGCGGUGAACGAUUCACCGCCUUUAAAAGAAAUAAGAGAAAACGGCGAACGAUUCACCGUCUUUAUAAGAAAAUCCUGACGUGGCGCCUACGUGGCGAAAGGAGGGUUAGUUUUACAAAUAAAAUUUUCACAUGGUUAUUUUGCCAAUUAUAAUUUUUCAGAAGGUUAUUUUAUAAAAAAGCCCAGUUGGGGCGUAAAUGUGUAAAAAACGAGGCUUAAUUACAAAAGACCCCUUGUACUUUAGGCACGCGCUCACUUUGCCCCUCCAUUUAAAAAUUACGCCCGUUACUCCCUGCACUUUGCCAUAAUUUCAAACAGGUUCAAACUUUUAGAAUAAUUAUUAAAUUUGGCUGUGAAAAAUUUGCAAAAACAAGUUGGAAGGUAAAGUUAGUUAUAAUUAAUGGAGUAAGAAUCGUAUAAUAAAUUUAAUUGUUCAAUAAAUUAUCAAUUUUGAUUGUAUUUAUAAAAUAAAAUAUAUCUUUUUAUAUAAGUAGAACAACGUGACAUGUCGCUCAUUUUAGUAAAUUUUGUUUACAGCCAAAUGUGCCAAUUAUUUUAAAUUUUUAGACAUAUUAAGCAAUUAAACCUUCUUAACUUUAUCAAAUAAUUCAAGAAGCCUCUCUCCUCAAUUGAAGUUACUAAAUACAUAGUUAUUUAGAUCAUAUGUCGCGCGAAUAAUCUUACAAGACUUUAAAAUGUACAAAAUUUAUUUCUCUCUCUUUCAAACUUAAUAACUGAGCAUUCAGAUUGAAUAAUAGGGUGAAUCUGCCUUAGAUUUUCGUUGUUUUGCUAUACGUCAGAAUAGAAAAAAAUAAAUUUAUUUAUAUUUUGUAGUUUUAUAAGAUUAUAUGUGAAACAUGCGAUCAAAAUGCACAUGCUUAUUGAACUAUUUGAUAAAAUUUGAAAGUUUAGGUGUCCGUUCGCAAAAGAGCUAAAGUUUGGAUGGUCCUGUAUAUUUUCCCCUAAAUAUGAGUUACUUAAUCUUUCUAACCUUGCCUGUAAUAAAUGGUCUGGUGCAACACUGAUUUUUUUUUUAGUCUCGCAAAUUAUGCGGAUAUGGAUAGAAUUUAUCUGCAAAAUUUUAGAUAGUCAUUAUCUUUAUUUAUACUCGCUCGUGAGUGAGGGUCAGUUCGCUUAGUGAGGGUCAGUUUGGUUCAACGUAAAACUAUAAAAAAUAAUUCUUGAUGAAAUUUUUUUUUUUUUUUUACAUUUUUUAAUGUUUGAUUCGUAAAAAAAGAAUAAUAGCUUUCCAGUUAUACUUGUUUGGUUGAAAGAAAAAUUUUGAAUGAAAAAGAUUUUAUAUAAUUUUUUUCUAUUAAAUAUUAUAUAUUAUUCAUAUAAAUAGCUACCAUAUUAUAUAUAUUAUAAUUAAAAUUUAUAUCUAUAUGUAUUAUUAUUAUCAUCAUCAUCAUCUAUAGAUAUAUCAAAAUUAUACCANAUAUAUAUUUAAAAAUAAAAUAUUAUAUAAUAGUAUAUUAAUAUAAUGAGAAAGAGAGGCUAAAUAAGGGAGUUUUUGUUUUCCACCGAAAAGUUUAAUUUUUUUUCUUAAAUCCCUAAAAAUAUUUUUAUGAAAAAAUUAUUUACAUAGAACCAAACAAACGGAAAAGUAUCUUUCAUACUAAAAAUAAUUUUUUGAUUUAUUUUACGCCGAACCAAACGCCCGCUCGAGCGGGCGGGUAUAUGGGAAUACCCACAAAGUAAUUUUUAUUUUUCUUUCUAUUUUUAUAUUUUUAAAUACAAAUGAUAUUAUAUUAUUUUUUUAAAAAAAAUUUAUUGUUUAAAAUAUCACAAUAUAUAAUAAAUAAUAAUGAAAAAAUGACGCUAGGAGAAAUUAGUGUUAGAAUUUUAAGAACAGACUAUUUACUAUUUUAUUUCUGUAAAAAUUUUAAAAAAUUAUAUAAACAGGUAUCCGAAGAUAUCCGUAAGUUGUCCAAAAUGCCCAUAAUUUAACAAAUACCCGUCUUUUUUACCUAUACAGUAAAACGCAAUAAAAGCAUUUUUCUUAAAAUUUUUUUUUUAAAACCUAACUUGUCUUAUUUUGGCUUUUAGGCGAAAAGCAAAAGCAGUACCAAACAACCGCUAAGAAACUCUCAUAAGCAUAUUCAAUUAAUUUACAAUCUCAACACAUUACAAUUUACACUAACCAAGUGACAACAUCCAUAACUAAAUUCUAGUGCAAAGAAAGGUUACUACCAUUACUAGUAUUUUCAGUUGACACUGAAAUGAGCUUGCUGUGAGUUAUCAGCAGGAGGAGAAGAAGAAGACAUCUUGCUCAACCUGCUCGGCCCCUGCUUUCCCUCUUUCCCGCCCACCUUCCGACCGCCGUACCCCCACCGGUUCGACCCGUACACAGCCCUGUGCGCCACCGCACCGGCAAAAGGCCGCGUCCGCUCCUUGUUGGCCGCCUUCUGAUCGUUCUGGCACCCAUUGGCGGCGGGUUUUUCGCCCUCCAUCUCUUGGAGGUGUUCUCUAUUUGAACAAGAAGAUGUGAAUUCUGUUGCUUCUUAUAGCAUCAAGUGAAAAAGAAAAAAAAAAAAAAGCAGGAUAGGAAAAAACAAACCCCAGCAUGUGCCGAAAGGGCAAGAGAGAGGGUAUCCUUUGCACAUCUUGCAAGAUAAGAAAGUGUUAUGCUGAAGGGUCGGCUGCGGGGCCGAUCUUUUCUUUCUUUCUUCUUCCUUUCUGGAAAAACAAGAGAAGAAUCUUUCGUGUUGUCGCCGUCCUCCACUACCUUGUUUUGCGGAUGAAUUUGGAUCAUUUGCCGCCGAUCUUCGAAGCCCAAAGUGAUCUGAAAAGGCAAAAGUGGGUCACAAAUGUGAAUCUUGGAAUGUUGAACAGCACAGCAAGAUGCAGGGUCCCCUAAAAUGAUUAUGAUUCAUGGACACACCUGCAACCUUUCGAAUAUUCGCAGUUAUAAGAAGCAAAACUCUCCACGCACUCCCAUGCAUGGUUUUACCUGAUUCCGUCGCAGUCUCCUUUGAAUAAAAUGCAACACUUGGAAAUGAACAUGUAACAAUCACAUCACUACUCAAAAAUACCAUAAGUAAAGAUGUAAUUACUUACUCAUACAUAAAUUUUCGUACUUCAUUGGUAUCCUAUACAUCACGUGAUUGUGACGUGCUCAAUUUUGCUCAAUUUUACUAACAUGGCACAAGAAUUUUGUCACUUUGAAUAGUACAGGGACCCACUUUCAUUUUCACUUGAAAAUGAUUGAAUAUUAUACAAAUAGUACAACAUAUAAUCCAACUGAUAUGCAAGAAUAGGUACAAGUAUAAUGCAAUGUAGCUGGCAAAUAGGAUAAAAAGGAGUAAAUUGUACUUGUAGUCCCCAAACUUUGAGUCAAAGAUUCAUCUUGGUCCUCAAACUACUGAUUUCGACACGCAAGACUUUGAACUUUUAGUAAAGUUUCAAUUUCGUCCCUAAACUUUCAAAAGUGUUUUGUUUUACUCCUUACCACAGAUUAACAAUUAUUACUUGUUGCAUCUAGUUCAUCUGCUUGUUCGUACACCCGAAUGCAUCGUUUAUCCAUCCAUCUCAUUCUUUCAAUUCAUAUAUCUAUUUUUUAUAUUAAAAAAAGGAUGUAACUCGAUGAUUGUCGUGGUUGAAAUAUAUGAUGGAAAGAAUAGUUAAUAGACGCAUGGUGUAUAGAUAUACAGGUGAACUGGGUGUAAGCAAUAAUUUUUCCUCGAAUAAAUAAAUAUAUGUAAUAACUAAAAUGAAACUUUUUUAAGAGUUUAGAAACCAUUGAUGUCGAAAUUAGAAGUCCGAGCACCAAGAUGAAACAUAGCUGAAAGUCUCCGGAACCGUGGUGCAAUUUACUGAAUAAACAGAUUGGCUAGGAAGAAACUACAUUUUGAUUUAAAUCCCUUUUCAUGUGCAAGAGCCCUGAUGCAAGACACCAGAAUAAGAUCUCCAACAGAACAAAUCCAAGUGUUCCCCACUGUUCCAGAAACUACAUUUUGAUGUAUAUCCCUUUCAUGUGCAAGAGCCCUGAUGCAAGACACCAGAAUAAGAUUUCCAACAGAACAAAUCCAAGUGUUCCCCACCUUUCGGAAUGGAAGUUGGUUUGGAGUAGAUACUCUGUCGCGUUAACCUGCAAUGUAAUUUAUUUAGUACCAAUGGCAGGUUCUUCGAUUCUUCAUAAUACCAUCAGGAAAUUGCAUUUGGGGGUGUUAAAAAAAAAAGAGAGAGAGAAAACACCAAAUGCAGAGGAGUCAAAUUAACAUGUAAUUCAUUAGGAAGAAUUCAUCAAAUAUCGCUCCUCCAUAGUGCUUUGUGGCUAAGUGCCCGUUUGGUCCGACAUACUUUCGUGUAGGUGUUGUUUGAGUUAAUUUGAAGAAGCAUUAACUUCUUGUUACAGCAAAAAUAGAAGCUUCAUAUUAGAGCUUCUAAUAUUAGGGUCCAAAACUCAUUUUAAUUUCAAGCGCAGCGAAAACUCCGAACUAUUUAUUCAAGAAGCCAGACCGAUAGGCAUAAGUAAAACUAAAUUGAAUAAGGAUAAGAACAUUGUUUCAAUCAAGGUUUAAAGUGUCCUGGCAUGGGAGCGUGCCGCUGUCUGCCUGGCAUGGUACGGCACCGGCACGCUUCCGUGCCGACGUAUGGUACGCUUGCGUGCCGAUGAAUACACAUGACCUCCUACUGACACGCUUUGGCCCGAAUUUAUUUCAAUUUUUUUGGUUCCAAUAAACUCUUAUAAUGUUAUUUUGAAAAUUUUAAUCAAAUAAUUAUGAAUAUUUGUUAUGUAUAGCUUACUAUACUCAUCAAUUAACAUAUUUGUAAACUUUUUUAUAUGUAAAGUACAACUAUAUCUGAUGCAGAAUAAAAAUUUUUACAGGUUAAAAUUUUUAAAAUGCAAAGACAUCUUUCUUUUUUUUUUUUGACAAUAUUACAGUAUUUCUUUUAUAAAAUACAAAAAAAUAAUUUUAAAAAUUAAUGUAAAAAGUAUUUGAAAAAUUAAUUUUUCAAAAAAUUAGUAGAUCUAUCAAAAAAAUUAAGCAAUAAAUUAUAUAACAAAUAAAUUAAAUAAAUUUAAGUAUCAAUUGAUUUAAUAUAGUUUUUAAUUUUAUCAGCAUUUUCAAUCUUUUAGCGCAAAAAUAAAAUUUUUUAUUUGAUGUGCCUCAAAAUUUGUUUAUUGAAUUCGAUUUUGUUCCUCUAAUUUGCCAAAAAUUUUGCGGUGCAACAAAUUUUGAUAAAAUAAUUUAUGAAGAAAAAAAGGAUGUAUGUGGCAGAAGCGGAGGGCUUGGACAAAUCUUUUGUCCGUAUAUUGAUUAAACAAAAAAAAUUAAAUUAUAAUUUUUUUGACUUACCUAAUAAGUAAAUUUUUAAUUUGCAAUAUUUUUUGGGUGUGGGGUACCCAAAAUGCUUCGGAUACUCCAAAGAACAAAACGAAAAGAAAAAAGAAAGCAAAAAAAAAAAAUAAAAUAGCAGUGCCGGCACUACAUUGUGCUGUGGCACACUGCGGCGUGCCGCUCUGUCUCGUGCGGUACAGCGUCACGUGCCGCAGCACGGAGGGAGAGUCCGAGACCCCCCCCGUAUCGUGCCCCCUUCCGCCCCAUGCCGUACGGCACGGGGCGGCACUUUAAACCCUGGUUUCAAUAUAUACCAAUUCUAUUAUAGAGGGGGCUAAAACAAGACAAUGAAGAAAGAGAUAUACCAGGUUAUAUUUAGGUGAGCGCCAAUAAAAUCCUUGUAAAAAUAUCGUAAACAGCCUGCAAGCAGCCAAAACAUACACAAUAAGCGCAUUCAUGCCCAUCCAUUGGAACAGAACAAAUGGUUUCCUGAACCCAGUGACAUCAACCUGCAUAGAUCAUAAAGCUUAACAGUGGGAUAGAACACAUUAACUGCAUUUACAAAUGAAUUACUGCAGGGCCUUGAAAAUUCUAGAACAAGCCAACCCAAUGGCGUGAGCAGAGGCAUUCUAGAGACCUUGAACAAACUAACAAAGAAUUCACAAAACUUGGCAUGACAUGAAGUUUAAUGAGUUCAAACAUAAAGCAGUCAAAAAUUGACACUUAUCGAAAUGGACUAAAUGUAAUAUUUGAUCACAGGUGAAAAAAGGAACAUUGAAUGUUCACAAGAAUACUCAAACUGCUCAACCUUAAACUUGAUCAGAAACUCUACUUCACCUCAUUGCGAUCUUUCAAAUGAGAAAUUCUGGGAAUAAAUAUAAAACUACCUAUAAAAGAGUAGUAAACCACAAUAAUUAAUUAAUAUGCAAUAUAAAAAUACUACAGGUUAUGAUUGCUUGGAUAGAUAAUUAUCUGAUAUCAUGCAUAAAUGAAAAGAAUAUCAACUAACCACAUAAUACAUCAGAGUGAGGAGAAAGCCAGAUACGCCUGCUGUAAGAAACAUGUAGCUCAUAGUGUACAAUGGCUUGCUGAAAGGCAUACCUGGAAAAAAAGAUGAAAUAAAUGUGACUAAACAAAAGAGAAGAGCAAGUAAAUUAGGAAACAACUGAGUAAAUGUGACUAAAUAUAGAGUUGACAUAAUCUUCACUAAAUUAUAUUACCUGACAACCAUACUAUGAAUCCACAAACAAGAAGUGCCAAGGAAGUUAAGGACCAUAGAAUCAUUCUCUGGCCAUUGUUCUACAGAAGAAAAAACUAAUAAUUAGCAACUGAAUCAACAAAGAGCAAAGUUUGAUGGAAGGUGCAACCAAAAUUAUAGAUUGUACCUUAAAGUGCACGAUUAUAUGCCCAAAAUGCAAGCCAACAAAGCAUGUCACUGCUGCCAUUAGAGUACUACAUGUAAAUCAAGCAAGAAAAACUAAUUAGUGUCCACUAGUCUAAAAUAUUAAGAAACCAACCAUCUUGAUGACCAAAACAAUGCAAAAUCUUGAAAAAAGCCCAAAAAGAGGGAAAACAUCCAGAAAUUUAAUUUAUCACAAUCUUAAUCCAUGUUAGCAAAUUAAUUGUUGGAAAUUCCAAUAAAAUAUUCACAAAUUUUAAACUCAAAUCGUACAUAGAAAGCCAACGACAACCUAAGACGAUAAUGUAACAUCAUCAACUGGCCCCACUAAAUCAAUCUAAAUGGUCUGGUGAAGUUUUUAUCUUAUGAUCUAGAAGCAUACAGAUCUGACAAACUUUCGUCAAUCAUCAGUACCAUUACAAAAUUUAAAAGAGAAUCUAUUACUUUAAUUUACACUUGAAAUGGUUUAUGAUAAACUUUAGAAUGUAGCUCGGCCUGCACCCCUCACAUUAUCUGCUUUUGUACAGGUAAUAAACUUUUCACAUCAACUUUUGGCAUCUAGGUGCUUUACCUCUGUAAGAUCAUCUCCAAAAAUGUUUUUUUUUAGAGGUCUUCAUUUCAAAAUUAUAAAUAAGGCCCUAGUUCAGCCAGAAGGAUAUCACUUCAAAUUCAUGCACAUGGCUACACACAUAAAAGACAUACUAUGCAGUAAAGCAAACAAGCAGAGUAAAAUUACUAACUUUCUGAUUUCAGGAUUCGUAAAAUUGACGGAAGCGAACAGAAUUCACAGAUGAGAGAGAAUCACCUUAAUAGACCCUCAGGAUCAAAUGGAGCCAAGCACCAAUUAGGUGAAUUUGGUGGGAGGGGACCAUAAUCAGGGGAGUUCACACUGCAUUCCUGUGAGAUGACAUAAUUUAUUUCCCAUUAGGAGUAAAAGACAAAGGUAAUAAGAGAAAUAAACAAUAAAUUGACAAUUCAACUAAAGAACCUUAGUCCUUUUAUAAACUGGGCGCUGGUAAAGGUGGUUUUCACCAAGAAAAAGUCGAUCUACCAAUCCAACAACAUUGCAAGGAGGUCCCAGGCUACCUCUCACUCCACAUUGGACCUGCCAAUUAUGAAAACAUUUGCGGACAAACAGUGAGUAGCCAGUAAACAAGUUCUUUCCCAUAACCGCUAUAAAUACGGGUAAAAUCAAGGGCCCGAUCAAUCAAAGGGCCCCCAUCAGUUGGAGCACCAAGUCACUCAUCUGAAACAGAUCAUGCUGUUUGGGAUGAAAUAGCAUUUUCGUACGAUUAAAGAAGAAUCUAUACUAGGUUAAUGUAUUACACAAAUGACAGGUUUCAACAGUUGCUCUUAGAAAGGCGAAAUUUUGCUUCCAAAUAUCAAGCUCCCACUGUAGCUACACCACAGAUCUUUAGCUGGAACAUGAAAAGAUAAUGCUAAAAUACAGCCGGUAAACAGUUUGCUCAACUUUAGCCAAGCCCUUUUAAGUUUGAACAAUAAGCUGAUAGAUGCUCAAAGAAGCAAAGCGACAAACAAGAUAUAGAAGUACAUGACUACUGAAAAUGGCCCUAAUUAGAUGAUCUAAGUAAAUAAAACACAGAAGGGACCAUGAAGUAUUAAGUUAGGACCAAAGGAAAAAUCUAGGGAUAUUGAAUGUGCUAUAAAGGACAAGAAAUGAAAAUCUGCAACACCAAGUAUGGUUUUUUCCCAAAUAAUGGUUGUUCAUUAAAUAUUGGAGCUUUAGAAAGCGCACCACAUGGAGUAUCAUCCUAUCAUAACAUAUAUUGGCUUGUGGCAUGCAGGAUAAUCAAUGAAUUGACAAUUGGUGCAUGCCAAACCAAAAAAAAUAGUUAAGGCAAGAAAAGAAAUAACAUCAAAAUGUGAUUGACAACUUUGUGAUGUUCAAUAAUCCAAAAGCUUGAUAGCUGAUAGCUAAUUAUAAAUUCUUAAUUCUCGGAUAAUAAAGACCUUAAACUAAAUUUACUAAUCCAAGACUCCAAGUAUUGAUGAUUCAGAUUAUUUGUGCAUAACAACCAACAUAGUGGAAACAUUAAUUUACUACGCGAUGAAAAAGAUACUUCCCAAUUCCCCAUAGAAGGAAUUAUGACUCUGUAAUGCUUAAUAUGGAUCUAAUGUGCCACAGUAUCACCUUGAAAUCAAACGACACAUGCCCUUGGUAAAUAAUCUGACCCUUACAUGGUUGGCAUGCCUCUUCCCAGCAAAGAUAUUUCAGUGAAAUUACUUACACAGGCAAGUUUACUAGUUACAGAAUACAACUUCACUUAAGAACCAAUCACUAGAUAGUAAGAGUCAGUUAUGAACUUACUGUUUCAAUGCUGAUCUGAUAAUUUGGGCUUGAAGAGGUAGAAUUUCUGCUUGAAAGUUCAAACUCCCAGCUAGGAACAUAGAGACCAAAAAGCAAGCCAACAUAUAGUGCAGAAAGUAGUAUGGUGGCGAUCCUUCAGGUGAAUAGCAGAUAUUAGAUUAAAUCCAGUUACUUCAACAUCAAAAACAGUGGAUACAUGAAUCUACUUUACACAUGAUGCAGAGGAAUCAUUUACUAAGCACGAAAUGGAAGGGAUAUAUUGCAAGGUAUCUUUUGGUCAGGCAAACUUGGGUUUGAAAUGGACACUAGAAUGAUUCAGUCCCAUUUUGACCUUUUGGUUAGAGGAGUCGUUUUCCCAUUACCAUUCCUUGGUGGAACAGGCCUCAUAUCUUCAAUCCAGCUAAGGAGAGGGGAGUGAAGUCUCAAUUCAAAGUAAAAUAUGAAUCACUAAUUCCAAUUACUAUUCCAGUUGACCAAAUGCACAAAUGGAACCGGUCAUUAUCAUUCAGAUUCCUUUUCUGAUUCUGUUUCCAAUCGUGAACCAAACAUACUCUAAAUGCUGUUAAAACUUUGCAGUACAAACCAUUGAAACUUGAGAGUUGUCAAUAUGACUGACCAUUCAGUGUAGUAUUUCCUCACAAAUGAUGCAGGAGAAUCCACUGUGAUGUCACUGAUGAGCCAAAUCUCUGACAUUGCUGCUAAAAAAUAUCCAAUGGAUAUCCUCUAAGAUAUGUAAAAGCACAAUCAGAUGACAAGAAAUUACUAAAUAAACAACACGAGAAACAACAAUAGUUCCAAUUUCCAGAUGCUAUUUGAACGCUAAAGACAACUUUGAAGAAUAGCAGUCCUAAAAGGAACAAAUUCAGCUUUUCAAACUUCAAAUAUAAAGUGCGCAUUGUAUUUUAAAGAAUAUUUUCUCACAAUGGGCUUUGUCCAGCAAAGAAAACCAUCAGAUAAAUAGACCUACAACUAAGACAAAAUGCAUCACCGAAUCAAAAUAUAAGCACCACGCAUGGCAUCUCACAAGUGUGAGCAAUUUUCAGCUAAAAGAACUAGCAUACAAUGUUCUUUUGAUCAUUAUUUUUCAUGAAAGCACUGCAAGUGGAGGUCAAGAUACAACAAAAACAACAACUUAUAGACAACAACUAUAGGUCACUGGAAUUAUUUUAUAAAUGCGAAUCUAAAAAAGAAGUUCACAUCAUAUAACAAAAAUAUGAUAAGAGUCAUUAGAAUCACAAAAUCAUUAAAUUAGAUCCACAUAACCUGUAAUACACCUAGCCACCGAAUACGGUCUAAAUCGACCCCGUAGGUUAAGUUAUUACGGCCAUGAAAGUAUCCACCUGCAACCAACCAAUAGUAACGACAGAAUCAAGAUUCCAACAAGGUUGUGAAUGAAAAAAAUCUUCGUAUAUAUACAUAUGCAGAAAAGUCGAGCAAAACUAAUAUAGCCAACAAAAUUAAGAUGGAUUCUAUUCUACAUGUAAUUCAUUAAAAUUUUUAAAAAAUGUAAGAAACUCCAACAGAACCUUGCAAAAUUACACCCAAGACAAAGAGCUUAAUUGUCCUCAUUAUGACCUUUUUCGUAGCGGCUGCUUUAUUUGAAGAUUUCUGCAAAGCAUCACCCAACAAAAUGAAGAGUUAACCUACUUAAUUACCAAAGAGAUUUUACAAGUAGUAGAUGAAAAUAACUCUCAGGCUAACUCCGAAAGAGUCGAAACACGAAGGAAUCCACUUGCAGCUCCAAAUAAGAAAGAAAUCAACAUCCCUAAGCCUCAAAAAGAUUGACUAUAGCCGAUAUGUCCCUAACAGAUAUAGGAGAAAGUACAAAUCUUGUGAAUUCAACUGAUUUGGUAAUUCAAAUUGCAAGGAAUUAUAGUAAAAAAAAAGUAUCUUUAUCAUCCUAAUGCUCUAGCUAUGAACUGCCACGUGAUAACGGCGAUAAAUGUGACAACAAAAAGAUAGACAAAAAUGAUUAGUAUUAUACCAAGACAAAUUUGAAAUCUAUAACCUACAACAAGCAGAAAAAUCAAACUUUUACACUAAAUAGUGAAAUGAAGGACUAGCGAGUAAAGUGAAAAAACAAUAAAACCCCAGAAAAAGCAAGAAACGAUCAAUUUCAAAUAUGACCUAGGGCUAAAAGGACCCUAUUUGAUACCUUAAACACAAGCGCGACCGACACGCCGAUGAUGAAGAGAAAGAAGGGCAUCACGAAGUCGGCGAGCGUGACGCCGAACCACGGCGCGUGGUUAAUCGCCGGGAACGCUCCCCCGGCGUCGUCCACCAGGAUCAUCAGCUGCGAAAUCUCGUCAGGGUUAGAGAUCAACGGGGAUUCCGAAUCCUAGGAACAGCAAUUCGUUGGGGAGGAAGGGUUUACCGCGACGGUGAGGCCACGGAAAACGUCGAGGGAGGCGAGGCGCGGGGACGGGGCGGAUUCGGCGGCGGAGGAGGGGGGCUUCAGCGGAGGAGGAGGAGGCGGAGGGGAGAGGAGGGGAUCGGAGAGUGGCCGCCAUGGAUGGAUCUCGUCGAGCUCCGGUAAAGGAGGAAGAGGAGGAGGAGAGGGAGGAGGAGGAGAGGGGGGAGGAGGGGGAGAGGAGAGGAGAGGAGAGCGAUUUUCUUCGUCUUCGUCGUCGUCUUCUUCUUCUUCUACGUGACGGACGCGGACGACGUCGGAGUCCAUUUUUUGGGUUUAUGCGGGCGGAGAGGGAGGACGGAGGAGAUGGAGAGAGAGAGACGGAGAGAGAGAGUUUGAGGAAGAGCGGACGGGGAUGAGUUGACUCCCGACAGUUCGCGCGGGGUUGUGUUCGUGCGGAAGGAAAGGCUGACAGCUGCUGUGUCUCAACUCUCACAUAUAAAAUUCAUAUAAAUAGUUUAUUAAGACAUACCUAAUAAUUUUUUGUACUUUCAUGUUUACUUGCACCUUUUUCUCUUUAUUUUUCUGUGCCCCUCUCUUUUCUAUCCUAGAUCUAUUUAUCUCUCUCUUCUCCCUAGGUCUCUCUCUCUCUCUCUUCUCCUCUAUCUCUCUCUUCUCCCCUUUCUCUGCCGCUCUCUCCUCUCUGUACCUCUGUUCCAACGCCUCUCUCUCUCCUAUGCCCUUUCUCUCUCAAACCUCUAAUGCCUCGCUAAUGAGUGCCCUAUCCUCCUACCUCGAGGCCUCUCUCGAUCGCUCCUUCGUUCGAUUCGCUCGCAGAUGGAAUGAGUCCAUCUAUUGGGCGGUUGCCGUUCCUCUCGAUCGCUCCGUCGGGCGAUUCGGUCGCGGGUGGCCUCGCUGAUGAGUGCCCUAUCCUCCUACCUCGAGCCUUUCUGGAUCGCUCCUUCGCUCGAUUCGCUCGCAGAUGGGAUGAACCCGUCCAUUAAUUGGGCGGUUGCCGUUUCUCUCGAUCGCUCCGUCGGGCGAUUCGGCCGCGGGUGGGAUAAGCCCGCCUAUUGGACGGUUCUUCCUGAGCCUAAAUCUACCCUACUUCGAUGGUUUUUGCUGGUUCUUUACAGAUCUUAUAAGAUUUUUUAUAGGUUGUUUAUAGAUCUGGUGAGAUUUUUUUUCUCUAUCUCUAUCUAUAUUUAUUAUUUUCCCUCUCUUGAUAUAUGGAUUGAUCUGGUGACCGUUUCAAAAAAUUUGUACUCAUUAUUUUUGAUUUUUUCUUUAUGUAUGGAUUUUCGAUUUUUUUCUUUCUAUGUGGAUUGUUUUUUAUACGUUGAUAAUUCAAAAAAAAAAAAACUUCUUUCUUCUCCAAUUUGUUUUACUAUGUGACUCUUAUAUCAUGGGUUAAACCUAGCCUACUGCUAGGGUUUUUACAGAUUUUUAUUCAUUGUUUUCUAGAUAUUUUUCCCUCUCUUGAUAUAUGGAUGGAUAUGGUGACAGUUUCAAAAGAUUUGUAUUCAAUUGUUUUCGAUUUUUGCAAUCUGUGUUGAUUUUUUUUUAAAAAAAUACUUCUUUGUUCAUCAAUUUGUUUUACUAUGUGACUCUUAUAUGUUGCCCUAAACCUAGCCUACUGCUAUGGUUUUUGCAGGUUUUUACAGAUCUCUACUCAUUUCCCGAUUUUUAUAUAAAAUAAAAUAUCAAUAAUAUAUAAUAUAAACCUGCCCCUAUACAAAUAGGCACUCUGGGAGUAUCUUUACAGAUAUCUUUACAUUUUCAAAAGAUUUCCUAGAUCAUUUCAAGGCGCACCGCAUAUUCCCCAUAAUGCCUAUAGCCCUAUCCCUAUUCUUUGCCCUCUUUCAUUCUCUCUUUGUUUCUGUGAUAGGCAAAAGCUUACCUUAGAUUUUUAUUAUAAAUACAUGGUUUAUAGCUGGCUUUAUUGCUUCAUGCAUGGUGCUGUUUUAUCCUCAAACUAAAAAGGGUAUACCUUCCACUUUACUGUGACAGAAUAUUCAUUGGUAUUAACUGUGACAAAGUCCUACUAAUAGUUGUACUAUUUUGUAGGUCCCUACAUUACUCUACAAUUUACUGCAUACUCACAAAAGGUUGAUAUUCUUUAGUACCUUUUGGACCCCUUUUAAAAAUUUAUUGCCACUGUUUCUUAGGUGCCUAGAAGAUUUCAUUCUAGGCUAAUGUGGUCUCUUGCGAGAAACCAACUAGGCUCCACCUUACUGUUUUUUGAUUGAUUUCUAUUGAUUUCUAUUGAUUUCUAUUGAUCAAGUUAUGUAUUUGUAUGGAUGAUUUUUGGCUUUUGUUUUUCUGCUAAUGCGAGACCCCAGAUAGUCCUAUAUGUAAGAUAUAAUAGUGCUAAACUCUUAACCCGGCUUAAGCAUUUUGGGUGGUGGCUAGACCCAAGAGGUUAAGAGAGUUAAGCGUGCUAGGACGGGAGUAGUCCUAGGAUGGGUGACCCCCUGGGAAGUCGGGGCGUCACAGAUGGUAUCAGAGCCAAUUACCAGCCGGAAGUGUGAGAUGAGUCUCGACUGAGCCAAGGUCUGAAUGACGGGCUAGCGAGACGAGUCUCACAUCGCCUGGUACUUGUGAGUCUGAGCUUGACGAAGACGUCAGGGCUUAAAGGAGGGGAGAUUGCAAGACCCCAAAUAGUCCUAUAUAUAAGAUAUAAUAGUGCUAAACUCUUAACCCGGCUUAAGUAUUUUGGGUGGUUGCUAGACCCAAGAGGUUAAGAGAGUUAAGCGUGCUAGGACGGGAGUAGUCCUAGGAUGGGUGACCUCCUGGGAAGUCGGGGCGUCACAGCUAAACUCUACUAAUUGUAUAUUUCUUACUCCAAUUUUGAAUACUUUGUUCUUUCUUUCUGUGUUACUUAGCAUGCCUUUUUCCCUCUAUGUGUGUUUUUUCCAACUUGCGCCGCCUGCUAUUUCAUUUUCUGCCAGCCUUCUAGACGAUGAUAAUAGGCAAGCAGAAACAAUAUUGAAUAGCAAGAUUGGACGGCCUUGCCAUAAGCAACUGCUUUCUGUUUUUAAAUUGGUUUUCUACAAAUAUUGAAUAGCAAGUUUGGAGGGUCUUAUCAUAGGCAACCACUUGCUAUUUUUAAAUUUAUUGGCUUCGAAGUACUUCUUUAUCUCAAGGACUGUUGCAUGCCUCUUUCGAUCGCGUGAUGCAACAAUGAUAGGCAAGCAGGAAUAAAAGUUUGAAAAUUGUCUUUUUAAAAGGUGCAAAAUUUGUAAUAAAAGUUUGGCGAGGCACUUCUUUAUCUCAAUGACUGUUACAUGCCUCUUUCCAUGGCGUAAUGCAACAAUGAUAGGCAAGUAGAAAUAAAAGUUUGAAAAUUCUCUUUUUAAAAGGUGCAAAAUUGGUAAUAAAAGUUUGGCGACGCUUAUCAUAGGCAACCGCUUGCUAUUCUUAAAUCCUGCCAUAUGCCUCUUUCCAUGCAUAAAUGACUUGCCUAUAUUACUUAAGUCUUGCUGGUUUUUCUUGCUUUUACUUUUUAUAUGUUUUCAUUUCAAAAAUUACUUUUCUCCUGGUUUAAUGUUUUAGCUCCUUACUUCCUUAACAGUUUAAUGUUUCUUCAAAUGUUCUCAUUGCUAAAGUAAAGCCUUUUCCUUUACUUUAUUAAUUUUUGCCUUGUCUAUUAUGGAUAUAUUAUAAAUUUUUCUUAUUCCAGACUUACUUUAUUAAUAAUAUUUAUAAAAUAUUUUAUCAUUUUGUUCUCUACACUUUUAAUGACUACUCCUUUACCUCUCAUUCCUACUUUUUUUUUCCUAUUUUUCUUUCGCAGCUUUUUCUAUGACGAUCGUCCAACUUUCUUACCUUAGAUUAUAGCGCGAGAUUUACGAACAACUUCAAAUGGAAACACUGCAGUGUGUCAUGACUCCUGCUACAGAGGGGACUUAUGAUGCAUAUAUAGAUCUUCCAAUUUCACGGGAUGAAUCUAUAGUUGAAAUGGUGCGAUGUUGGGGGGCGCAAUCCUCCACAUCUGCUGCAGCUGAACAGAUGCUGCUCUAGAUGGUUGAAGAAUAUGAUUUGCAAGUUAAAGAUGUGAAUUACGAUGAUAGUAUCUUUUAUAAAAAUCUACACAAUCAUCUAACCACAAAGUUUGCUGUGCUAUUUGCACACUACGCCAACUUGCUUCUUGGUGAAGGAUUGCUAUGUCACUACUCUUGCACAGAUAAAUGAGGUUGUGACUGAGCGGGUCCAGAUACGCCGUGCCAUUGAAGAAUGCUAUACUAUAAUUAACCGCUUGGUUCCUCUUCCCCCUAUUGCAGAAACUAAUUCAUCAUAUAGUACUUCGGCUUUCUUGGGUUAAGUGUCGAAGGUUCAAAGGAAAAAACGAAAUGUUUUGCUACUGCUGCUUUUGUAUCUGAUCGUGCAUGCACGCAUGAUCUUUUUGUUGUCCUGUCGAAAACUACGCGUCGCUCAUUUUGGAUUUGUAUUUGGACUUAAAACUAUGUGCUGCUUUAGUUAGAGGUGUAUUUUGAUCAUUGUAAAUUUGUGGUGGGUUUAAAACUAUGUGCUGCUUUAAAACUCCUACUUCUUCCUUUAGUCUUUAGGUUAUUUGUUGGUGUCUUCUCUAAAACUUCAGUUAAAUGUAAAUUUGUGGUGGGAGUGUCCAUUGGUAACAUGCAACAUGUUUCCUUACUUUAAGUUCUAUUUCCUGCUGAUAUUUUUGUGGUCUUGCGAUGUUGUGAUUUGAUGUUGCCGAAAGAAAAAUAAGCAUACUUCUACAUGCUGAAAUGUGAUAAAGCAGCGAGUCAGGUAGGAUUCCAUCUAUUUUUUUACAUAUUUAGGGAAAAAAUAGGUGUUGGCCUAAUAUUAGUUGUUCAGCUUUACUCAUAUUUUUGCUUUACUUUUGUUCUUUUCUUCCUUCCUUGCUUUAAUUACUAAAGUAUUCUCCAAACUGGUACGGGUUAAUUUCAUAGGCUUCCUUUCGUUCGGGUACAAGUAAAAACUGUCUAUUUCAAAAAACAAAUAUAAAUUUAAAUAUAAAUAAAAAUUUUUGAAUAGAAAAAAAUAGAAUAAGAAGAAUAGUGGGUAGUUAUAAAUAGAAAAUAAUAAUAUUACUGUAGUAUCCCUGGAAGGCAGCAUCUGCGGCUUGUCGACACGUCGGGAGAGUGUCGGGACAAGCCCGAGUUGCGUUGGCGCGAAAUAGACGCAAAGCGGACUCAGUGCGACGCGGGAGCAGGGAGUUAGCACUGAAAUCUGCAAAUUUCAUAUU
rnacentral:lncRNA from 1 species